rnacentral:rRNA from 1 species
AUUGAACGCUGGCGGCAGGCCUAACCCAUGCAAGUCGAGCGAGCGGCGGACGGGUGAGUAAUGUCUGUGAAACUGCCUGAUGGAGGGGGAUAACUACUGGAAACGGUAGCUAAUACCGCAUACGAUCAGAUGUUCCCAGAAUGGAUUGGCGAGUAGGUGGGGUAACGGCUCACCUAGGCGACGCUCCCUAGCUGGUCUGAGAGGAUGACCCGCCAAACUGGAACUUAGACACGGUCCAGACUCCUACGGGAGGCAGCAGUGGGGAAUAUUGCACAAUGGGCGCAAGCCUGAUGCAGCCAUGCCGCGUGUAUGAAGAAGGCCGUCGGGUUUUAAAGUACUUUCAGCGGGGAGGCGUUACCCGCAGAAGAAGCACCGGCUAACUCCGUGACAGCGGCCGCGGUAAUUC